rnacentral:piRNA from 1 species
UGCCACCAGCCCAACGGAUCACAGAACUGU